CGGGGCGUGGCGCAGUGGUAGCGCACUGGCAUGGGGGGCCAGGGGUCCCGGGUUCAAGUCCCGGCGCCCCGACCA
rnacentral:tRNA from 2 species